rnacentral:lncRNA from 1 species
UCCCUUCUCUUCAAAGUUCAAGUGGCGCUUAUUUUCCAUACCACAGGGAUGCCAAUCAAUCAGUUCAUUUACCAAUUACCAUCCAAGGAUGGGCAACAAAAGUUAUAAUUUGCAACUCUCAUUUUUGUUAACAUCUGGGCAACAAAAGUUAUAAUUUGCUACUCUCAUUUCUGUUAAUAUCUGUAUAAUCUGUAAACAUGAAUAACAAUGCUGUUUAUUGCGGUUCG